rnacentral:rRNA from 1 species
AGAGUGAACGCUGGCGGUAGGCCUAACACAUGCAAGUCGAACGGCAGCACAGGAGAGCUUGCUCUCUGGGUGGCGAGUGGCGGACGGGUGAGGAAUACAUCGGAAUCUACCUUUUCGUGGGGGAUAACGUAGGGAACUUACGCUAAUACCGCAUAAGACCUUCGGGUGAAAGCCGGGGACCUUCGGGCCUGGCGCGGAUAGAUGAGCCGAUGUCGGAUUAGCUUGUUGGCGGGUAAAAGCCCACCAAGGCGACGAUCCGUAGCUGGUCUGAGAGGAUGAUCAGCCACACUGGAACUGAGACACGGUCCAGACUCCUAACGGGAGGCAGCGAGGUGGGAAUAGUUGGACAAGUGGGACGCAAGCCGUGACUCC